GUUAGUUGCGUUUUUUGACAUUAAGAUGUUUUGAUUGUUGAGCUUGAACGCUUUCUUAAUUGAUGGCUGCUUUUAGGCCACCUAUGGUUUGUAUUUAUGCUUACUCUCUAAUAAAGGCUGUAUCCUAAUUCUAAAAAGCUAUACCUUUUUAGACUAUAUUUUAAACUUACAUUAGAAUUUUAGAGUUUUUUGAGGUAAGUUUAAAGUUGAACUAAGAUUCUGUUCUGGGCAACCAGCUAUCACCAGGCUCGUUAGGCUUUUCACCUCUACCCAUAAAUCUUCUCACUAUUUUGCAACAUAGAUGAGUUCAUCCUAUAAUAGAUUGUUCAUGGGUAGCUCGUCUGGUUUCGGGGGACCUAGCUGAAGUUCUCUUUGUUAGGUUGUUCUAGUUAAUUCAUUAUGCAAAAGGUACAAGGGGUAAUCUUUGCUGUGUGGUGCUUUUAAUUUUUUCUUUCAUCUUUCCCUUGUGGUACUUUCUCUAUAGCGCCAAGUUAAAUUUCUAUCUCCUAUAAUUUUUAGGGUAACUGAAUGUUUUGUUUUACUUUCUAGUGUUAGUUGGGUUUAUGGAUGUUUGGGCUAGCUUUGGCUCAAGAUGGUCAGUUUAAUAUGAAAUCUUCUGGGUGUUAGCCAGAUGCUUUGUUUAAGCUACAUCUUGUUAUCCAAGCACACUUUCCAGUAUGCUUACCUUGUUACGACUUGUCUCCUCUUGUGGGUAUAGUGGUUUGAAUAGGUUUCUUUAGGGAUUUAUCACUUGAGGAAGGUGACGGGUGGUGUGUGCGUGCUUCAUGGCCCGACUCAAUUGAGCUCUCUAUUCUCAAAUUUACUACUAAUCCUCCUUUAAUACUUACUUUCAUAAGGAUUUUUGUGGGUGUUCUAAUUUUAGAGAUCGGUCA